rnacentral:lncRNA from 10 species
UUUCAUUUCUUUCCUUAUAGUACUGAAUCAGACCCAAUGCAUAAUAUUGCCUAAAAGUGAUAAGGAUGGACAACCUUAACUUGUUCUCAAACUUACGGGAAAAGCAUUCAGUCUUUUAUGGUUAAAAAUGAUCUCAGCUCUGGAGCUUUUCAUAAUUUUUUCCCAGUAUUCCCUACGGUGCCCUUCACACUGAUGUAUGAACUCAAGACAGGCCCACUUCUCUGCAGAAGAAUGUCCUAAUAUCAAAAAUGUGUCUCUGAUGAAUGUUGGACCAAAGGGAGUAAACAGAACCCAAGACAUCUAACAAAAUGUUCCCCAGAAUUAAGAUGAACACCAAAGAGAAUAGAUAAUUUUAUGGAAACUAUGUUGGUGGGAUCCACUUCCAGCUGUGUGUGUCUGCACACCUCAUUCCUCUUGGUCGUGAGACAAGAACUCAGAACUUGCUGAAAUGCAGAAGUGAAAGAGCAGUAUCACUCCAUCCUGCUGAACUACGGGAGUGAAGAAGCCACAGUAGGACUUUACUAGAAGUGAGGAUUGGAGAACAGAAUCUUUCCAAAAGUUUUGAAGAAGCUUCCAUGUUGUGAGAGAGCAUAUGGAGGGGGCCACGUGGCAAGGAACUGUAGUGGCCACUGAGUACUGAGAGUGCUGAGUGCUGAACAUAGAACCUCAGGGCAACAGUUGCAAAGACAUGAAUUCCACCAACAACAUGAAGGCCUUGGAAAUGGAUUAUUCUCUAGUCCAGGCUCUGAUCACCACAGCCCCAGCCAACACCUGAAUUUGAGCCUUGUGAGACCCUGGAGUAGAGAACUUAGCUAGGAUAUGCCUGACUUCUGCCCUACAGAAACAAAGACAUAAUAAAUGUGUGCUAUUUUAAGCUUCAAGUUUGUGAUGAUUUACUACACAGUAUAGAAAACUAAUACAAUAUUACUUUUCUUUCUGCAACAUAUGUUUCCAUUAGUCUAACUUCCAUCUUGAUUCAACAGAUAUUUUUUGAAUUCUUAUGCCAAGUGCUGUUAAGAAUUUAUCUCACAAUCACAUAGGUCAGUAAAUAGCAGCGACCAGAUGGGAGUUCAGGCCCUUUUAGUCAUUGCUCAGUGAUCAUUCCCUUACAAUAAACAUCUGUGGAUGCACUAAUCCAAAUAUCAAGUGUGUGAUUGCCACAAAUAUUUGAGUUAUAAGAUGUUAGAAAUGUUUAA